rnacentral:rRNA from 1 species
GACGAACGCUGGCGGCGUGCCUAACACAUGCAAGUCGAACGGUAAGGCCCCAGCUUGCUGGGGUACACGAGUGGCGAACGGGUGAGUAACACGUGGGGGACCUGCCCCGCACUUCCGGAUAAGCCUGGGAAACUGGGUCUAAUAUCGGAUAGGAUCGCACCGUGCGGGUGUGGUGGUAAGUUUUUCGGUGUGGGAUGGGCCCGCGGCCUAUCUGCUAGUUGGUUGGGUAAUGGCCUACCAAGGCGGCGUCGGGUAGCCCACCUGGGAGGGUGGACGGCCACCAUGGGACUGAGGCAGGGCCCAGUCUCCUACGGGAGGCAGCAGUCGAGAGUAUGGCACAGUGAGCGGGAGCCUGAUACAGAGACCCCGGGUGGGGAAAGACGGCCUUCGGGGUGUAAACACCUGUCACCAUAGACGAAGGUUUUCUGACGGUAGCUAAAGAAGAAGCACCGGCUAACUACGUG